rnacentral:rRNA from 1 species
CCUANGGGUGGCUGCAGUCGAGAAUCUUCCUCAAUGGGCGAAAGCCUGAAGGAGCGACGCCGCGUGCAGGAUGAAGGUUUUCGGAUCGUAAACUGCUUUUGUUAGGAAAGAAUACUUCACCGGAAAUACCGAUGAAAUUGACGGUACCUAACGAAUAAGCCACGGCCAACUCCGUGCCAGCAGCCGCGGUAAUACGGGGGUGGCAAGCGUUACUCGGAAUUAUUGGGUGUAAAGGGCAAGUAGGCGGCCCAUUAAGUGAGGGGUGAAAUCCUGCGGCUCAACCGCAGAAAUGCCUUUCAAACUAAUGGGCUUGAGGCCGAUAGGGGGAAACGGAAUUAGCAGUGUAAGGGUGAAAUCUGUAGAUAUUGCUAAGAACACCAGCAGCGAAGGCGGUUUCCUAGAUCGGAUCUGACGCUAAAUUGCGAAAGCUAGGGGAGCAAACAGGAUUAGAUACCCUGNUANUC